rnacentral:rRNA from 1 species
CCAGACUCCUACGGGAGGCAGCAGUGGGGAAUAUUGCACAAUGGGGGGAACCCUGAUGCAGCAACGCCGCGUGGGUGAAGAAGUAUUUCGGUAUGUAAAGCCCUAUCAGCAGGGAAGAAGAUGACGGUACCUGACUAAGAAGCCCCGGCUAACUCCGUGCCAGCAGCCGCGGUAAUACGGAGGAUGCGAGCGUUAUCCGGAUUUAUUGGGUUUAAAGGGUGCGCAGGCGGCACGGCAAGCCGGCGGUCAAAUCGCGGGGCUCAACCCCGCCCAGCCGUCGGAACUGCCGGGCUAGAGUGGGCGAGAAGUGCGCGGAAUGCGUGGUGUAGCGGUGAAAUGCAUAGAUAUCACGCAGAACUCCGAUUGCGAAGGCAGCAUACCGGCGCUCAACUGACGCUCAUGCACGAAAGCGUGGGUAUCGAACAGGAUUAGAUACCCCCGUAAC